ACAAAACGGCUGGAACCACAUGUCUUUGAGGUAGGAACGCAUCGCCAGGGCUUAGAUCCAUCUACCGUAGCUUAGAGACGACGACAGCUUCUCCUCCAGUUCUGACGAUCAAGGGGUGCUCGCGACGUUGAUUGAGGCACACACGUGAGCCCGUGUGCGGGCUCUAUGGAUCCAAGCCAGAUCCCCGACGGGAUUCAUCCAGACGCUACAUUUAAGUUAUUUGUUUGAAUAGAUGAGUUCGUUGCUAAGGCAGAUGAUGGGCACUGCUUUACUAUGCUAAAGAUGGAUGAUGAAUGGAUGGUAGACUAUUACAAGUAUAUAUGAGGAAUGUUGAUUAGUGACUUGAUUGAAAGGGUCAGUUUGGGGGCCAAGAGCCAGUGGUCACUACCAUUGAGAAGGGGAAAGGUGAGGAAAUGGGGAUUCAGAACAAUAUGGAUAUGAUGAUUGCGUUGGGUGACAGGUUUGAGCAAAGAUUUCUUCCUUUGUUUGUUACUGUGCAAGACAAACCUAAGAGGCAAGUGAGUUGGUCAAGUGUUACUCAGGCCACUGAGGUGGUUAGGGAUCUAUGCUAGAGGUAUUUUCUGAAGCAGCAGCAACAAUAUUUGCACGACCACCAGCUGUAGCAGCAGCAUCAAGCAGCCACCAAGGUAGUGCAUGUAAUGUUGCAGUUGAUGAUGGAGUACCUCUAUCACAAAUUGAUUGGGACAGUUUGCAGCUUGAUACAAUACCAGAAGCUGAAAUAGGUAGUUUAGUGCCUGUGAUGGAGGAAGAUGAGUUAUAUAUGUUGCUUGGAGCGAGAGCUGAGCAUGAAAGAGCAGAGAAAGCCAAGGUUGCAGUUCAAACUGCUCCUCCAGAACCUGCUCUUCCUGUUGACCUUGAAGGAGCUGCAAUACCAGCUGAUGAUGUCAUUCAUGGUGAGCCAUUAGUGUAUUAUGACAGAGAAGAUCCACCAAUGAAGGAAGGUAGCAUAUAUCCUUGCAUGGAUGAAUUUAGGAUGACGGUUAGGCAACACACUAUUAAGGGGGAAUUUGAGCUUGGGACUGAGAAAUCUGACACUAGUAGGUUUAGGGGUUAUUGCACAGCUGAGGGUUGUCCAUGGGUUAUUGUGGCAAGGUUGAUGCAUGAUGGGAAGCCAGUGAGGGUUACACUGAAUAAUAAGGGUUAUACAUGUGCAUCAACUGGCAGGAUACAUGCCAAGGUGGCAUCUAAGCAUUAGGUUGCAGAGAAGGUUGGCCCUAUACUAAAGAAGCACCCAAACCUUGGAGCUAAGGAACUAAAGGAAGAUCGGAGGAGAAGUACACAUUUAUUCUAUCAUAUGAAACUAUAUGGUUUGGUAGACAGAUGGCUGCAGAGAGGCUUUUUGGAUCAUGGGAAGAGAGUUUUGAAAUGUUGUAUAGGUUCAAGGUAGAGGUUGAGCUCAGAAGUCUUGGAAUAGCUGUAAAGCAAGUUGAUGACGAGGUUUACUUGGAUAAAUUCUUUUGUUGCUUCAAACCAUGCAUUGAUGGUUUCCUUAAUGGUUGUAGACUUUAUUUGAAUAUUGAUUCCACAACCCUUAAUGGCAGAUGGAAUGGACAUCUUGCUUCAGCUACAGCUCUAGAUGGACACAACUGGAUGUUUCUAGUUGCAUUUGGCUUUUUUUGACUAAAAAACAACAGGAGAAUUGGACUUGGUUUAUGAAGCAGCUGCAGCAGGCCAUAUUCAAUCCACCUGAUCUAGAAAUAAGCUCUAAUGCACGCAAGGGUUUAGAGAAUGUUGUGAAGAAAGUGUACCCUUGGGCAGAGCAUAGAGAGUGUUUUAGACACUUGAUGCAAAACUUCAUUAAGAGGUUCCAAUGACCAGUUUUUGGGAACAUGUAUCCUGCAGCUAGGGCUUGGAGAGCUGACAUGUUUCAUCAUUACAUGAGUGUCAUACUAGAAGCUGAGCCAUCUGUAGGACCAUGGUUAGCUAAGCACCACAACCUCAUUUGGAUAAGGUGCAGAUUCUCAGAAGCAAUCAAAUGUGAUUAUAUCAACAACAACCUAGCAGAGUGUUGGAAUAAGUGGGUGAAGGACAUCAAGAACCUCCCAAUAUGUGAGCUUGCUGACACAUUGAGGGCUAUGAUAAUGCAACAGUUUGAGAAAAGGAGAAGGAUAGCUGAGAGAUUACAAGGUACCAUGCUUUCUGUGUCGAUAUCACAAUUGAAUGCAAUGACUAGGGGAUUAGGGCACGUGAGGGUCACAAAGGGUGCUAAAGACACUGCAAAGGUGGCAGAGACCAUUGUGGAGCAAAGAAUGGUUAGACAUGUAGUGCACCUUGAGAAGCAUGAGUGCACAUGCAGGGAGUGGCAAAUUUCUAGGAAGCCAUGCCCACAUGCAUUAGCAUUGAUAACCGCAUCCAGAAACCUUAGGAUGGAGGACUAUAUGGAUCCAUGCUACUCACUAACCAGGUUCAGGUAUGCAUAUGUUGGAGUUAUUCAACCCCUGACAGACAAGUCACAAUGGCCUACAAUUGAUCUUGAUUUCAAGGUCUUUCCACUUCUCACAAAGAGAUCAGUUGGGAGACAGAAAAAAAAAGGUUUGUAGGAUGCUUGGAGAAAGGGAAGUCGAGGAGCAAUGGCAAGUGGCAGGUGCAGUGCCCAAGGUGUGGAGGCAUGGGGGCAUAGGGAGUCAUCACCAAAGUGUCCUUAUAAUGGAAGAGUAAUGCCAAGGAGCAGCAGAUAGGUCGAAAGAAAGGCGCAAAGGGUGUAGGUACUAGAACACCCAAAAGGUAGAAAUUGGCUCAGACGCAAGAAGGAACAAUCCAUCAGAGUCAUUGCCCUGUCAUAAGAAGGCAAUUGACAUUGACAAUGAGUGGAGAAGGAACAAGUUAGCAUAGUCCUGGCCCUAUCGCAAGAAGGCAGUUAGUAAUGAGUGGAGAAGGAAUAAAUCAGCAGAUGGCAGCCCCUUCUACAGUAGCCAUAACACCAGCAAGGAAGAAGAUGACUCCAAAGAAGGGGAAAAAAAUGAAUGCAUGAUUUUGGAUGUAAUCUUUUUAAUCCUAAAUUCCCAUGAAACUGUGACCUGGAUGUAAUCUUUUGUAAUCCUCAAUUCCCAGGAAACUGUGACCUGGAGGGCACCAUGUCAUUUGUGUUGUAAUGCUUAAUUCUCAGGAAAUUGUGAACCUGGAUGGAAGCUUAUCUAAAAACCUGGAUGUUAAGUCAAAAUGGAUGGAUCUUUAUGGUUUGUUAUC